AGGAUGACUAAGUUGCAGGAUGAUGAAAUUGAAGAGGAUGAGCUGUUAUGGAAUCAGGAUGCUCUUAAGAGGAAGAGAAUGAUGAUAAUUAUGUAGUGGAUGCAGAGGUUGUUGAACUCAACAGUCUAUCCCCCCUGAAAAUCAAGACGUCCCUGAUGAUGCAGAAGGUGAGAGAAAUGUCAGAAAAUCCACAAGAACUGCUGUGAUUGUUAGGCAAGCUGAGAGAGAUGCAAAACGUGCAGCAAUGCAAGCAAAAAUGAAGAGAUCAGGAACUUGAGGAACUUAGAACGUGUUUUCGCGAGGGAGGAAGAAGUUAAGAAAAGAGCAAUAGUGCAGAAAG